UACGUAGGGGGCUAGCGUUGUCCGGAAUCAUUGGGCGUAAAGAGCGUGUAGGCGGUCCGGUAAGUCCGCUGUGAAAGUCGGGGGCUCAACCCUCGAAUGCCGGUGGAUACUGUCGGGCUAGAGUGCGGAAGAGGCGAGUGGAAUUCCUGGUGUAGCGGUGAAAUGCGCAGAUAUCAGGAGGAACACCUAUUGCGAAGGCAGCUCGCUGGGACGUAACUGACGCUGAGACGCGAAAGCGUGGGUAGCAAACAGG
rnacentral:rRNA from 1 species